rnacentral:rRNA from 1 species
CUGACGAUCAAACCCC